AGGGAUUGCCUUAGUAGCGGCGAGUGAAGCGGCAAUAGCUCAAAUUUGAAAUCUGGCACCUUCGGUGUCCGAGUUGUAAUUUGAAGAAGGUAUCUUUGGUUUUGGCUCUUGUCUAUGUUCCUUGGAACAGGACGUCACAGAGGGUGAGAAUCCCGUGCGAUGAGAUGCCCAAUUCCAUGUAAAGUUCCUUCGACGAGUCGAGUUGUUUGGGAAUGCAGCUCUAAGUGGGUGGUAAAUUCCAUCUAAAGCUAAAUAUUGGCGAGAGACCGAUAGCGAACAAGUACUGUGAAGGAAAGAUGAAAAGAACUUUGAAAAGAGAGUGAAAAAGUACGUGAAAUUGUUGAAAGGGAAGGGCUUGAGAUUAGACUUGGAAUUUUCCAGUAAUGGAGCUUUCUGGGCCAGCAUCAGUUUGGAUGGCAGGAUAAUUGCGUAGGAAAGUAGCUCGGCUUCGGUUGAGUGUUAUAGACUGCGUCGAUACUGCCUAUCUAGACUGAGGACCGCGUCUUUGA
rnacentral:rRNA from 1 species